GGAUAACCUACCCUUAGGACCGGGAUAACCUUGGGAAACUGAGGAUAAUACUGGAUAGGCAAUUUUUCCUGUAAUGGUUUUUUGUUUAAAUGUUUUUUCGCCUAAGGAUGGGUCUGCGGCCGAUUAGGUAGUUGGUUAGGUAAUGGCUUACCAAGCCGUUGAUCGGUACGGGUUGUGAGAGCAAGAGCCCGGAGAUGGAACCUGAGACAAGGUUCCAGGCCCUACGGGGUGCAGCAGGCGCGAAACCUCCGCAAUGUGAGAAAUCGCGACGGGGGGAUCCCAAGUGCCAUUCUUAACGGGAUGGCUUUUCAUUAGUGUAAAGAGCUUUUGGAAUAAGAGCUGGGCAAGACCGGUGCCAGCCGCCGCGGUAACACCGGCAGCUCUAGUGGUAACAAUUUUUAUUGGGCCUAAAGCGUCCGUAGCCGGUUUAAUAAGUCUCUGGUGAAAUCCUGUAGCUUAACUGUGGGAAUUGCUGGAGAUACUAUUAGACUUGAGACCGGGAGAGGUUAGAGGUACUCCCAGGGUAGAGGUGAAAUUCUGUAAUCCUGGGAGGACCGCCUGUUGCGAAGGCGUCUAACUGGAACGGUUCUGACGGUGAGGGACGAAAGUUAGGGGCGCGAACCGGAUUAGAUACCCGGGUAGUCCUAACUGUAAACGAUGCGGACUUGGUGUUGGGGUGGCUUUGAGCUGUCCCAGUGCCGAAGGGAAGCUGUUAAGUCCGCCGCCUGGGAAGUACGGUCGCAAGACUGAAACUUA
rnacentral:rRNA from 1 species